rnacentral:tRNA from 1 species
GGCUUGUGGCUCAGCGGUAGAGCACUUCCCUAGCAAGUCCGGGGCCCUGGGUUCAAUCCUCAGCACCA